rnacentral:rRNA from 1 species
CCUACGGGGGGCAGCAGUGAGGAAUAUUGGUCAAUGGGCUUACGCCUGAACCAGCCAAGUCGCGUGAGGGAAGACUGCCCUAUGGGUUGUAAACCUCUUUUGUCAGGGAGCAACGCCGGCUACGUGUAGCCGGACUGAGAGUACCUGAAGAAAAAGCAUCGGCUAACUCCGUGCCAGCAGCUGCGGUAAUACGGAGGAUGCGAGCGUUAUCCGGAUUUAUUGGGUUUAAAGGGUGCGUAGGCGGAAUGCCAAGUCAGCGGUAAAAUCGCGGGGCUCAACCUCGCUCCGCCGUUGCAACUGGCGUUCUUGAGUGGGCGAGAAGUAUGCGGAAUGCGUGGUGUAGCGGUGAAAUGCAUAGAUAUCACGCAGAACGCCGAUUGCGAAGGCGGCUUACUGGACUGUAACGGACGUUGAGGCUCGAAAGCGUGGGGAGCAAACAGGAUUAGAUACCCCUGUAGUC